rnacentral:pre_miRNA from 1 species
CAAAAUAAGUGCAGCCGUGGAUAUCCGUGCCUAACGUUUGACCGUCCGUUUUAUUUGAAAAAUUUGUGAAAAAUUUAAAAAUAUUUAGUCACACAUAAAGUAUUAUUCAUGUUUUAUCAUCUAAUAGCAAUAAAAAUACUAAUCAUAAAAAAAUUUCAAAUAAAACAAACAGUUAAACAUUUAAUGUGAAUAGUGCAAAACUGCACUUAUUUUGGGACGGAGGGAGUAGA